GUGGGCUGCGACCGCGCUGGGGAGCAUAGUGCGGCGCCAACCGGUCUGCUGCGCGCCCGCCUUGCGCCCGCCUGUCGCCCGGGCGCCCCGCACCGCACCCAGAGCCGCAGCUUCUCGCCGCCGCCUCCCGCAGGGCUGGAGCGCGCGGAGCCAGGCAGGGAGGAAAGGCCACCCGGGACGGCGGCGGACUUGGAACGAUAUUAUUUAUUUGCGUUGGGCGUUUUUUUAAGGGAUGGGAGGAGUGAGUGUGGGAGGGGGAAGCUGUGAGUUUCUCUGGCCGACAGCGUAGGCUCUGGGAGCGCAGGGGGGAGUCUUUCCCCCUCUCUAUGCAGAUCUGGACGGGUUUUUUUUUUGUUUUUUGUUUUUUUCUGGACGGACGGAAGGUGUGUCCAGCCCAUCCAUUCAUGUCACCAGCCCCACAAAGUGACAGACGCGGCCAACAAUAAGGUGGAACUUCAGUUCAUAUGAUGCAAUGAAAGCUGCAGACCUGAGAUCUGAAAAAUCUGCACUCCAUGGUUUGAUUUGUAAAUUAACAUUAACGACAUCAUCACUCACUCUCUCAUGGCUUUCUAACUUAGACAACUGGCAAGAUAAAAAUGAACAUGAAAUGUUGAGAACAACCACCAAGAAAAGGCUAUAACCAUUGUUCACUGUCUUUCCUUUCAGCACAAUAAAAUAAAAGGAGAUUCCAUAAAAUAAUUUCACUUUGAUACCAUGCAUUGUGGGCAACCUCAUUCUGGCAUUUUCAUUCUGUGCCUCAUGUUGACAUUAUCGACAUGAGGGAGGGAGAGAGCUAUCUUCUUAAGGAAUGCUCACUAAAUAUUUGAAAUGAACAGUGAUGAGAUCAAGCAUUCAGCAACAGAAUUCAGCAUAGAAAAGCAGCUAUAGCACCAGUCCUGAAGUUAAUCAACCCUGGAUCCAACUCCUACUCCACUACUUAUUUGCUGUGUGACAAUAGAAAAGUUACUGAACUGUGAACUUCAUUUGUAAAAUGCAGAUACUAAUUCUUACCCUCUACCAUUUCUGGAAUAUCAAGUAAAAUUUGUAAUAGAACACUUGUACAUUGUAGAUAGUUAAUGAA
rnacentral:lncRNA from 1 species